UACAGAGGGUGCAAGCGUUGCUCGGAAUCACUGGGCGUAAAGCGCACGUAGGCGGCUUUCUAAGUCAGGGGUGAAAUCCUGGAGCUCAACUCCAGAACUGCCUUUGAUACUGGGGAGCUCGAGUCCGGAAGAGGUGAGUGGAACUCCGAGUGUAGAGGUGAAAUUCGUAGAUAUUCGGAAGAACACCAGUGGCGAAGGCGGCUCACUGGUCCGGUACUGACGCUGAGGUGCGAAAGCGUGGGGAGCAAACAGG
rnacentral:rRNA from 1 species